rnacentral:rRNA from 1 species
CUUGUCUCAAAGAUUAAGCCAUGCAUGUCUAAGUAUAAGCAACUUGUACUGUGAAACUGCGAAUGGCUCAUUAAAUCAGUUAUCGUUUAUUUGAUAGUACCUUACUACAUGGAUACCUGUGGUAAUUCUAGAGCUAAUACAUGCUAAAAACCCCGACUUCAGGAAGGGGUGUAUUUAUUAGAUAAAAAACCAACGCCCUUCGGGGCUCCUUGGUGAAUCAUAAUAACUUAACGAAUCGCAUGGCCUUGCGCCGGCGAUGGUUCAUUCAAAUUUCUGCCCUAUCAACUUUCGAUGGUAGGAUAGUGGCCUACCAUGGUGGCAACGGGUAACGGGGAAUUAGGGUUCGAUUCCGGAGAGGGAGCCUGAGAAACGGCUACCACAUCCAAGGAAGGCAGCAGGCGCGCAAAUUACCCAAUCCCGAUACGGGGAGGUAGUGACAAUAAAUACUGAUACGGGGCUCUUUUGGGUCUCGUAAUUGGAAUGAGAACAAUUUAAAUCCCUUAACGAGGAACAAUUGGAGGGCAAGUCUGGUGCCAGCAGCCGCGGUAAUUCCAGCUCCAAUAGCGUAUAUUAAAGUUGUUGCAGUUAAAAAGCUCGUA